AGAGUUUGAUCCUGGCUCAGGAUGAACGCUAGCUACAGGCUUAACACAUGCAAGUCGAGGGGCAGCAUUUUAGUUUGCUUGCAAACUGAAGAUGGCGACCGGCGCACGGGUGAGUAACACGUAUCCAACCUGCCGAUAACUCCGGGAUAGCCUUUCGAAAGAAAGAUUAAUACCGGAUAGCAUACGAAUAUCGCAUGAUAUUUUUAUUAAAGAAUUUCGGUUAUCGAUGGGGAUGCGUUCCAUUAGUUUGUUGGCGGGGUAACGGCCCACCAAGACUACGAUGGAUAGGGGUUCUGAGAGGAAGGUCCCCCACAUUGGAACUGAGACACGGUCCAAACUCCUACGGGAGGCAGCAGUGAGGAAUAUUGGUCAAUGGGCGCGAGCCUGAACCAGCCAAGUAGCGUGAAGGAUGAAGGCUCUAUGGGUCGUAAACUUCUUUUAUAUGGGAAUAAAGUUUUCCACGUGUGGAAUUUUGUAUGUACCAUAUGAAUAAGGAUCGGCUAACUCCGUGCCAGCAACCGCGGUAAUACGGAGGAUCCGAGCGUUAUCCGGAUUUAUUGGGUUUAAAGGGAGCGUAGGUGGAUUGUUAAGUCAGUUGUGAAAGUUUGCGGCUCAACCGUAAAAUUGCAGUUGAAACUGGCAGUCUUGAGUACAGUAGAGGUGGGCGGAAUUCGUGGUGUAGCGGUGAAAUGCUUAGAUAUCACGAAGAACUCCGAUUGCGAAGGCAGCUCACUAGACUGUCACUGACACUGAUGCUCGAAAGUGUGGGUAUCAAACAGGAUUAGAUACCCUGGUAGUCCACACGGUAAACCAUGAAAAGUCGCUGUUUGCGAUAUACAGCAGGCGGCCAAGCGAAAGCGUUGAGUAUUCCACCUGGGGAGUUCGCCGGCAACGGUGAGACUCAAAGGAAUUGACGGGGGGCCCGCACAAGCGGAGGAAACAUGUGGUUUAAUUCGAUGAUACGCGAGGAACCUUACCCGGGCUUAAAUUGCAGAUGAAUUACGGUGAAAGCCGUAAGCCGCAAGGCAUCUGUGAAGGUGCUGCAUGGUUGUCGUCAGCUCGUGCCGUGAGGUGUCGGCUUAAGUGCCAUAACGAGCGCAACCCUUAUGGUCAGUUACUACGCAAGAGGACUCUGGCCAGACUGCCGUUGACAAAACGGAGGAAGGUGGGGAUGACGUCAAAUCAUCAUGCCCUUUAUGACUUGGGCUACACACGUACUACAAUGGCGUUAAACAAAGAGAAGCAAGACCGCGAGGUGGAGCAAAACUCAGAAACAACGUCCCAGUUCGGACUGCAGGCUGCAACUCGCCUGCACGAAGUCGGAAUUGCUAGUAAUCGUGGAUCAGCAUGCCACGGUGAAUACGUUCCCGGGCCUUGCACUCACCGCCCGUCAAG
rnacentral:rRNA from 1 species